rnacentral:rRNA from 1 species
CCUACGGGUGGCAGCAGUGAGGAAUAUUGGUCAAUGGGCGCGAGCCUGAACCAGCCAAGUCGCGUGAAGGAUGACUGCCCUACGGGUUGUAAACUUCUUUUAUAAAGGAAUAAAGUGAGGCACGUGUGCCUUGUUGUAUAUUUUUUAUGAAUAAGGAUCGGCUAAAUCCGUGCCAGCAGCCGCGGUAAUACGGAGGAUCCGAGCGUUAUCCGGAUUUAUUGGGUUUAAAGGGAGCGUAGAUGGGUUGUUAAGUCAGUUGUGAAAGUUUGCGGCUCAAACGUAAAAUUGCAAUUGAUACUGGCAGCCGUGAGUAGACUGGAGGUAUGCGGAAUGCGUGGUGUAGCGGUGAAAUGCAUAGAUAUCACGAAGAACUCCGAUUGCGAAGGCAGCCUACUAAACUGCCACUGACACUGAUGCUCGAAAGUGUGGGUAUCAAACAGGAUUAGAUACCCUAGUAGUC